rnacentral:lncRNA from 1 species
GUCCGGUCUCUCCGCCUCCUGCCCCCGCCGGGUCCGGCCCCCCCCUCCCCGGGGUCGCGUUGUCACGGAGACCGGCAGCCGGUGGUGCUGGCCCGCGGGGCGGCUGCUGCUGCCCGCGGCGGCGGCGGCGGAGGCGGCGGCGGCGGCGGCGGAGGGCGUGUGUGACCGGUCCCGGCCCCCUCCUCCUCCUCCUCCCAGCCUCCCCCCGGCCCCCCGCUCCCGCCGCCUCCCCGGGUCUGCCCCCAUCCCGCCCCUCCGCUGCCCCCGGCCCCUGCACCCCGGCGCGCCCGGUCCCGCUCUGGGGGGGUUGGUGGCUUCGCUUUGCCAUGAGUUUACCGCAGAAACCGGCUCUGAAAUCAGGCUCAGCGGCUGCA